GAUGAACGCUGGCGGCGUGCUUAAUACAUGCAAGUCGAGCGAGAAUUUUUCAAGUGACACUUCGGUUGAUUUUGGAAAAGGACAGCGGCGGACGGGUGAGUAACGCGUAGGCAACCUGCCCCUGACAGAGGGAUAGCCAUUGGAAACGAUGAUUAAAACCUCAUAACGCCGAAGGAACACAUGUUUCAUCGGCCAAAGAUUUAUCGGUCAGGGAUGGGCCUGCGUCUGAUUAACUAGUUGGUGAGGUAACGGCUCACCAAGGUGACGAUCAGUAGCCGACCUGAGAGGGUGAUCGGCCACAUUGGAACUGAGACACGGUCCAAACUUCUACGGAAGGCAGCAGUAGGGAAUCUUGCACAAUGGGCGAAAGCCUGAUGCAGCAACGCCGCGCGAAGGAUGAAGGCCUUCGGGUUGUAAACUUCUGUUCUUAGGGAAGAAGAAAGUGACGGUACCUAAGGAGAAAGCCCCGGCUAACUACGUGCCAGCCGCCGCGGUAA
rnacentral:rRNA from 1 species